rnacentral:rRNA from 1 species
GACGAACGCUGGCGGCGUGCCUAAUACAUGCAAGUUGAGCGCUGAAGGUUGGUACUUGUACCCACUGGAUGAGCAGCGAACGGGUGAGUAACGCGUGGGGAAUCUGCCUUUGAGCGGGGGACAACAUUUGGAAACGAAUGCUAAUACCGCAUAAAAACUUUAAACACAAGUUUUAAGUUUGAAAGAUGCAAUUGCAUCACUCAAAGAUGAUCCCGCGUUGUAUUAGCUAGUUGGUGAGGUAAAGGCUCAACAAGGCGAUGAUACAUAGCCGACCUGAGAGGGUGGUCGGCCACAUUGGGACUGAGACACGGCCCAAACUCCUACGGGAGGCAGCAGUAGGGAAUCUUCGGCAAUAGACGAAAGUCUGACCGAGCAACGCCGCGUGAGUGAAGAAGGUUUUCGGAUCGUAAAACUCUGUUGGUAGAGAAGAACGUUGGUGAGAGUGGAAAGCUCAUCAAGUGACGGUAACUAACCAGAAAGGGACGGCUAACUACGUG